rnacentral:tRNA from 1 species
GCAUUAAUAAUUUAAUUCUAAAAUAUUGGUUUUGUAAACCAGAAAUGAUUUUCUCUUAAAGCA